rnacentral:rRNA from 1 species
UACGAAGGGGGCAAGCGUUGUUCGGAAUUACUGGGCGUAAAGGGCGCGUAGGCGGCUCUUGCAAGUCAGGUGUGAAAGCCCUGGGCUCAACCCGGGAACUGCACUUGAAACUGCGGGGCUUGAAUCCGGGAGAGGUUGGUGGAAUUCCCAGUGUAGAGGUGAAAUUCGUAGAUAUUGGGAAGAACACCGGAGGCGAAGGCGGCCAACUGGUCCGGUAUUGACGCUGAGGCGCGAGAGCGUGGGGAGCAAACAGG